UACGUAGGGUGCGAGCGUUAAUCGGAAUUACUGGGCGUAAAGCGUGCGCAGGCGGUGAUGUAAGACAGAUGUGAAAUCCCCGGGCUUAACCUGGGAACGGCGCUUGUGACUGCACGGCUAGAGUACGGCAGAGGGGGGUGGAAUUCCACGUGUAGCAGUGAAAUGCGUAGAUAUGUGGAGGAACACCGAUGGCGAAGGCAGCCCCCUCGGGCGACGUACUGACGCUCAUGCACGAAAGACGUGGGGAGGCAAACAAGGAGUU
rnacentral:rRNA from 1 species